rnacentral:lncRNA from 1 species
GCGGAGCCGGCGCCGAGCAGCCGCGCGCGGGUCAGGGGCGCAGCUUUCGCGGAUGACCCCGCCGGCGCGCUCGGGCGCUCAGGGGCGCGCGCCCGGCUCCGGCGGAGAGCAGGUGCAACGGGCUGUCCGAGCCGAGGUGUUCAGUCCUGACGGCGACUGGCUGGCGAGUGGGCGAGCGGACCUGAGGCUUGCGGUGCUGACGCGCUGGAACGGAGGCUGGAGGGGAUGGAACCGACUGCGGGGGCAUCUCGUCUUGAAGGGCAGAAGAGAGGCAUCAUUUCCCCUGAGCAGGGUUUCAUGUUUCAUUGUGGUAAAAAUGCAGGGUGAUUGGAUGGGUGGGUGGGCAGAACAACCAUUUCUU